rnacentral:rRNA from 1 species
AAUCAACGCUGGCGGCGUGCCUAACACAUGCAAGUCGAACGCGAAAGUGGAGCAAUCCAUGAGUAGAGUGGCAAACGGGUGAGUAACACGUGGGUGACCUGCCUUAGAGUGGGGGAUAACGUCCCGAAAGGGACGCUAAUACCGCAUAACAUGCUGCCUUUUAAGAGGUGGACAUCAAAGCCGGGGACCGCAAGGCCUGGCGCUUAAAGGGGGGCCCGCGCCUGAUUAGCUAGUUGGUGGGGUAAUGGCUCACCAAGGCAACGAUCAGUAUCCGGCCUGAGAGGGCGGACGGACACACUGGGACUGAGACACGGCCCAGACUCCUACGGGAGGCAGCAGUGGGGAAUUGUUCGCAAUGGGCGCAAGCCUGACGACGCAACGCCGCGUGGAGGAUGAAGAUCUUCGGGUUGUAAACUCCUUUCGAUCGAGACGAAUGGCCCUUGGGCUAACAUCCUGAGGGAGUGACGGUACCGAGAGAAGAAGCCCCGGCUAACUCCGUGCCAGCAGCCGCGGUAA